UACGUAGGUGGCAAGCGUUGUCCGGAAUUAUUGGGCGUAAAGCGCGCGCAGGCGGUCCUUUAAGUCUGAUGUGAAAGCCCACGGCUCAACCGUGGAGGGUCAUUGGAAACUGGAGGACUUGAGUACAGAAGAGGAAAGCGGAAUUCCACGUGUAGCGGUGAAAUGCGUAGAGAUGUGGAGGAACACCAGUGGCGAAGGCGGCUUUCUGGUCUGUAACUGACGCUGAGGCGCGAAAGCGUGGGGAGCAAACAGA
rnacentral:rRNA from 1 species